AGGAAAACAAGUGAGAAGCAUGGAGUAGCAGAAAGAAAUCUUUGCUAUGGCCUCAGCCUCCUGCACCAUCUGUUGCCACAUCACCAAGCUAAAACUGGUGCAGACUGCUGCAUGCACACACGCACAUAGGCUAAGCUGAGAGAUGAACAGCUAUCAUGUCUUUUGCCUAGAGCAGCGCUUUCCAACCUUCAGGCUAUUCUGAGCCAAAUCAGCUCAUUCUUGGGUUUGGAAAAGUCUGGCAGCAAUUAUGGGACUCUGCUGUGAAUACUUAUAAACAUGAAUGAGAUUUUCUUAUAAUAUAUAUAAAAACAAAUCUGAAAUCUAUUCUACAUUUUCUAAGCAGGAGCCAACUUAUUCUUUUAGAUAUGCAGCACUUGAAUUUCGAUAUAUUCUUUUAUAAAGGUUGCUGUUAGCAUUAAAAAAGAAAAGUUUGGUGUAAUUAUACUCAUAUUUAUAACCCUAAGAUGUUGUAUGAAUAAAUGACAUCUUUUAAGCUGGG